AGAAGAAGAGGCGGAAUUACUGUGAGCGAUGGUCCAAGAUGAAGACAAUUCUAGCAUUGGAGACUAUGGAUAUUCCUGGCGGUGUUAAGAUUAAGAUGAAAGCCAAGCAGAUCGAGGUGGAGGGACCACGCAGGAAGCUUACUCGCAACUUCAAGCAUCUCAACCUCGACUUCCAACUCAUCACCGAUGAGGUCACCGGAAAGAGGAAGCUCAAGGUCGACACUUGGUUCGGCUCCUGCAAGACCACUGCCGCAAUUCGAACUGCCCUCAGCCACGUCGAGAACCUCAUCACCGACGUUACCAAGGGCUACUGCUACAAGAUGAGAUUCGUCUAUGCACAUUUCCCAAUCAACGCCUCCAUCACCAACUCCAACCGUUCUAUUGAGAUCCGCAACUUCCUUGGUGAGAAGAAGGUGGAUAUGCUUGAAGAAGUCACUGUUAUCCGGUCUGAGAAGGUUAAGGAUGAAUUGGUGUUGGAUAGCAAUGACAUUGAGCUUGUUUCCCGAUCUGCUGCCCUGAUAAACCAAAAAUGCCAUGUGAAGAACAAAGAUAUCCGGAAGUUCCUUGAUGGUAUCUAUGUCAGUGAGAAGGGGCAAAUAGCUGAGGAGGAGUGAGAUCUGUAAUUAAGAAGAAGUAUGGCCAAGAUGCAACAAAUGUUGGUGAUGAGGGUGACAUUGCUCUAAUAUCCAGGAGAACAAGGAAGGUCUUGAAUUGCUUAAAACAGCUAUUGCUAAAGCUGGUUACACUGGUAAAGUUGUGAUUGGGAUGGAUGUGGCUGCUUCUGAGUUUUAUGGUAAAGA